AGUGAACGCUGGCGGUAGGCCUAACACAUGCAAGUCGAACGGCAGCACAGUAAGAGCUUGCUCUUACGGGUGGCGAGUGGCGGACGGGUGAGGAAUACAUCGGAAUCUACUUUUUCGUAGGGGAUAACGUAGGGAAACUUACGCUAAUACCGCAUACGACCUACGGGUGAAAGCAGGGGAUCUUCGGACCUUGCGCGAUUGAAUGAGCCGAUGCCGGAUUAGCUAGUUGGCGGGGUAAAGGCCCACCAAGGCGACGAUCCGUAGCUGGUCUGAGAGGAUGAUCAGCCACACUGGAACUGAGACACGGUCCAGACUCCUACGGGAGGCAGCAGUGGGGAAUAUUGGACAAUGGGCGCAAGCCUGAUCCAGCCAUACCGCGUGGGUGAAGAAGGCCUUCGGGUUGUAAAGCCCUUUUGUUGGGAAAGAAAAGCAGCAGGUUAAUACCCCGCUGUUCUGACGGUACCCAAAGAAUAAGCACCGGCUAACUUCGUG
rnacentral:rRNA from 1 species